rnacentral:rRNA from 1 species
CUAGCUGUAAACGAUGGAUACUAGGCGUUGAGAGUAUCGACCCUCUCAGUGUCGUAGCUAACGCGUUAAGUAUCCCGCCUGGGGAGUACGCGCGCAAGCGUGAAACUCAAAGGAAUUGACGGGGGCCCGCACAAGCGGUGGAGUAUGUGGUUUAAUUCGAUGCAACGCGAAGAACCUUACCAGGGCUUGACAUGUCCGGAACCCCGCCCAAAGGCGGGGGUGCCUACGGGAACCGGAACACAGGUGGUGC